ACGUCGAUGAGACGUGAUAACGUAGCUAGGGGAAGGAGUUACGUUAGGCGGCCAUCUUGUGGUUGGAACGUCGGCUAGUGGUGGGAUGCUGAGUAGCAGUGACGUCAGUGCUGGCUGCUGUCUGUGCCUCAGUGAGAGUGAGGAAGACUUGAGCAAGGUGGAAGGAAUAUGUCUAGUCUUCUGUCGGACAAGUGUGGAUGUAGCAUUCUCUAGUGCCAAAAGGUUGCACCGAGGUUGCUGGAUGACUAAGCUAAGCGACACAAGUGGACAACACAAACACCUUGCCCAUCUAGGAGUGGCACUGCAGUGUCAGACAGGAGGGCAGAUAUAAAAAAAAGGCCCCAAACAGCACAUGAUGCAAAGAAGAAAAAGAGGUGCACCGAGGUUGCUGUAUGACUAAACCAAGUGACACAAGUGUGCGGCACAAACACCUGGCCCAUCUAGGAGUGGCACUGCAGUGUCAGACAGGAUAGCACGUUUCAAAAACUAGGCCCCAAACAGCACCUCAUGCAAAGAUGUAGAAGAGGUGCAAUGAGGUAGCUGUAUGACUAAGCCAAGCGACACAAACAAUUCCCACUGGAAUUAUACAGCAAUAUCACUGGAAUUAUAUAGCAGUACCAUUGGACAUAUAUGGCGGUAUCACUGGAAUUAUAUGGCAGUACCACUGGACAUAUACGGCGGUAUCACUGGAUUUAUAUGGCAGUACCACUGGACAUAUACGGAAGUGUCAGACAGGAUGGCACUUUAAAAAAAAUAGUCCCCAAACAGCACAUGAUGCAAAGAAGAAAAAGAGGUGCAAGAUGGAAUUGCCCUUCGGCCCUCCCACCCACCCUUAUGUUGUAUACAGUAAACAAGACAUGCAUACUUUAACAAACCAACCAUUUCAGCGACAGGGUCUGCCACACGACUGUGGCUGAAAUGACUGGUUUGUUUGGGCCCCCACCAAAAAAUAAGCAAUCUCUCCUUGCACAAGCUGGCUCUAUUGAGGCAAGAUGUCAACCUCAUCCUCCGAUUCUUCACCCCUUUCACUGUGCACAUCCUCCUCACAGAGUAUUAAUUUGUCCCCACUGGAAUCCACCAUCACUGGCCCCUGUGUACUUUCCUGAGACAAUUGCUGGUCAAGGUCUUCCUGGAGGAAUUUAUAAUUCAUUUUGAUGAACAUCAUCUCCACAUUUUGUGGAAGUAACCUCCUACGCCGAUCGCUGACAAGGUUACCGGCCGCACUAAACACUCUGUAAACGUCAGUUUACUUACAGGACUAAAAGCAUCACCUUAAAAAAGACCUUCAAUACACUUUAAAUGGAGCCGCUGUGGCCGCUGUAAUCUUUAGCCUACGUACUUUUUACACCAUUAGCGUACAGAGCCCCGUACAGUGUACGUACUUUGCGUACAAACGCCGCGCUGGUCGUACAAAGUACACGCAGUGCGUACACACCCAAAGAUACUCCGUGAGCACUUAGCAGCUACACGUGUGACUGAAAUACACUUAUAACCUUAGUAGGUAAAGGAGACACGACACCUGAUUGUAUUUAAAAUGCCGGGUUCCGACACACCAACAUAUAAUUACUGAAACGGGGUUACAAUAACAAUACAAUACAAUAGAAUAAUGGCUGCAGUCAAUGGUAAAUACAUGUUUGGUUUCGCCUGCGCUUCCCAGUCUGGUCCUCAGUCAUCAAGGUAGAUGACCUUCAGAGUCUGUGUGUGACCGGGCAUGCAGCUGGCUCUUUUAUACAAUAGUCCAAAACCUAACACAAUGGAUACUGUAAUCUCUUUGUCCAUUGUGCACUAUUUGGAUUAAAUAUGUAAUGUGUUUUUAUGGCUUUUUCAUGCGAUCACAAACUCUACCGUAAUUACCCAUACCACACUGUCAGGAAUCUGCAUUCUCCAUCGCAUCACUUACUGUGGAACUACAGGUUCCAGCAGUUCAGUUUCAGUUUUCAGUCUACUGCAGCCUGGAGUACACAGUGCUUCUAGUUAACAGCAUUUACUCCCGGUGCACUACUGAGCCCAGCCAGCAAUCAGCAGAGCAUUUGCAGAAUCACUCUCCUGAUGAAUCAUUAGCUUCAGCUAACUCACAGCUGAUCUGAACACCCAAUCCAGCGGGGUGCGCUCUCACAGAGAUGCAACAUCCAAUCAUCACAGACCAAGGGGUAUUAACUCCAGUUCCUGGCUCAGUCUCAUCGCCUUGGACAACACGUCACAUCCUUUGAACAGGGGUCUCCUGUCUUCAGUCCUCUGUCUGCAGAAAUUCCCCAGUGUAUUGGACCUGUGGAACAACAGGUUCCAGCAGUUCCAUUCCAGUUCCGUUUCCAGUUCCAGUCUGCAAUCCCCUGUUUCCAGCGAUCUCCUAUUUCUGGCAUUUCCAAGUUGUUUCCCUGUUCCAGUGUUCCUGUGGAACUACAAGUACCAGCAUCCAUUCCAGCUUUCCUACGAGUCACAUUCGGUGUACAAGUUCUCCUGGUUCCUGUAUUCCUGUUUCCAGUGGUUUCCUUGUUGUCAUUCUUCAGUCUUCAGUUUGCUAUGAACUCCAGCCACAGUUUGCCACAACAACUUGCAGUAAGAGACUUUCUUGCAGUAAGAGACUCAGCCUGUGCAACUGAUUACCAGCAUCUAGCAUUGUGCAUUGCAUUCAGCACUUAACAACUUGCUGUGUUUGAACUGUCUCCUGCUAGGGCCUUGCUUGGCUUAAAGACGUGUGCUUCUACAGAGACUGUGUGCUUUAAUUGCUAUUUGUUAUGUAUCGGAGUUUCGUUUGCUGCAUCUGAUUUCAUUAUUGCCUUAUCAUUUAUAUCAACUUGUAGUUCAUCUUCAUUGCUCAUUUGUUACCAGUGACUUUUGAAAUAUUCAUUUAUCGGAUUAAGUUAUUAUUAAUUGUUCCUGUCAUCCGUUAUCCCUGUGUGAUAAAAAAUAUCAAGCGCACAUGCGCGGAACUUUU